CGCCUAUGUGAUGUCAUGGGUUUUGGAGGUCCUGAUACCAACACCUUGUAAGUCCUGUUUUCUUGUCUCAUGUGUCCCAGACGUCAGCUCAGAUCUUGUGGUAGAGCCAGUGGCUGCUGGCCUCAACCUCAGCUCAAAGGCAAAGUGUAAUUAUGCAUGGAAGGUAGCCGUC
rnacentral:lncRNA from 1 species